rnacentral:lncRNA from 1 species
CUUUGGUGAAGGUCAAUGUGAAACUGAAGCCCAUGCUAGAUUCAGUGGCUGCAAACCGAAGUAAGUGGGAAGAAAUGCAUCAGAAAAGACUGCUGGUCUCAGCCGCCUCACCUACCCCUGCCAGCCCCAUGGUGGCUGAGGAGGACAGAAACUAAAGCUCUAUCCUCCCAGAGCUGCUGCAAAAUGACUGCAGCCUGAAGAAUCAGCUUCAGUCCAGCCACAUCAUCCUUUUAUUCCUUUCGCUCAGACAGACCUAAAGACUCGGGAUGUGCUGGAAAGCAUGCCUGGACUUUUUCACCUUGAAGUGUGAUCAGUAGCAGAGUGACAGGAGGACAAAGGAGGAGGUGGGGCAGAGAGCCUGGACCCUUACCUUCCCCUGAUGAACAACAUGGGCUGAAAUAAAGGCUGUGGGCCGAAGACUGGUUUGGAUCCAGGGACCUGGGACAGUCAGCACAGAAAGGUGAAAGUGUCAGCGCUGCUUAGUUUGAACAGUGAAAGUGUCAGCACUGCUUAGUUUUGUAUGUGCUCUUCUGUUGGUUACAAGCCAAAUGCUCUGUCUUUGCAGCCUCUCUCCAAGCAAGCUAUUGUGUCAGACUGACCCAAGUAUCCAGAUUUGUAUUCUAUAGAGGUAUCUUAUUUUUAAACACAUAGGUUCUUAAUGAUGGACUAGAGCCUUUAGAACAGAUAACCUAACAGAUAACCUAUAAAUACCAACCAAACCCAGUUUUCCCCCUAAAGGGUCCAUAGUAGGAACAUAGCAAAUAUGUUUGUUGAUUGGAGUUUAUACAAAAUCUGUAACUCUACGUUGAGAUCAUGGUUCAUUUUUAGAGUUUUAAAAUCAGACUUCAUUGUAAACAAGUCUUCUUUCCUCACAGGAAGAAGGGAUUAACCGACUUUAAUUAAAGCAAAGAUGAGAGGAAGUCUAUAGCCAAAUUUACUACAAGUGACAUAUGAACAUCUAGAAACUAUUUCCAAUAGUGAGAGACAUUUUUUACAGGACACAGUAGAGCCACAAAGAGUAUUGACUGGCUUGAGUUCUCCCAGUGAUGAGUUUUGAUAUAAAAUUUAAGGUUACUAUAAGUAAUCAAUCAAGAAAUAACGCUUGAAUGUUUAAGAAAACACAUAAUUUGUAGGAAACUAGGUUUAAAAUGGAUAAGAAUAAACUGUCAAUAGAUACAAUGACUAAAAAGCUGAUUUGCUGCUCAUUGUACCUGAGAUUGAGGACAUGGUAUGUCUUAUUCAAAAAGCAUGAAGCUAGAAGAAUGGCUUCUAACCACAGCUUUGGCACUAUUGACUAGACAACUCUGGAUAAGUGGCUAAACUUUUCUGACCUUGUUUCCUCAUUUGUCAAAUGAGAUCACACUGGGAAAUGAUUUUCAGACAUAUCUUAACAUUACAACUUUGUUCAAAUGAAUCUUUCAAGGACUACUAAGAUAUUAGACAUCAAAAGAUAAAGUCCUCUGUCUGAAGCAGGGUUUGGGGAUUCAGAGACCUACAAAUCUUCACUCUUUGAUCACAUACACAGAAGUCCACAAAGGGACCCUAACGACUUGGGAACAUCCCUGGACUAGAUGAAACCUGAGAUUCAUUCCAGCUCUGAAAAAAAUCUAAAAUUCACCACACAUUUUUGUUCUUACUUUUACUGAUCAAUAUCAGUUAUUAAUGUUACUACUCAAUUCUUAAAGAAAUAGGGGCCAUGUUCCACAAGGGACAUUGUUUUUCUGGCACAAAGGAGUCUUCUGGGAAAUGUUCGAAGGAAUGAGUAAAAUGAGGGGACAAAAACAGAAGUGAGAAGGAGCAGGUAAUCAUAAAUAGAAAAUGAGAUUUGUUAUGGCAAGAAACAAAGUAAAAGAAAAUUAUGAGCCUAGCAAGGAGGAGGGAAAAAGGAAGAAGAAGGAAAAUAAGAAGAGCCAUAAAGGAAAGAUAGGAAUGAAGCAGGUAGUUUUAAGGGUACUGCCAAAGGAAAGGUGAAAGUCAAUCCAAACAAAGAAAAAUGGCACCUCCAACCAAAAAAAUGAGGAUGUAGAAUCCUGUCAUCAAUUGCUUAGGAAAGAGAGACAAUUGAGCAGGGAGGGGUUUGACAAAGGAGAGAAGGAAGGAGUGGGAGCACUAAAAAAUAAUGUUCCUAGCUACGCUUUACAGCUGUCUCUGCAGGGAAGACUGGAGAAACUAGAGGAGAAAAUGAGUGCAGGAAAAAUUGCCUCUGCAGAGCAGGUAAGAGGAGGUUGUUCAGAUUUAUGGAUUUUAUUAAGCCAGUUUUCUGAAUCACUCUGCUAUAAAGGAAAAUAGCUUCUGCAGGGCUGUCUCUCUUCCUUCAGGUGAUGAACAAAGGAUGGGUGGAGUUACGAAUAGACCCUGGUCUGUGAGAUCAUCAUGUGUCUGCAGCUCACGAGCACUGCAGGUGUUUCUGGGUAUUGUGCCACAUCAUGUUAAUAUCACAAAUGGGAAUUGAAAAUCAGUCCAUGUGAGGCAGAGAUGAGUCCACAUCUGUUAUCCUCCCCAACAAUAAAUAAAUAAAUAAAUGGCCAGACAAAGGGAUGAUGCCAGACCAUCUAAAGCAAAAUUUUAAAGCACUAACCCAGGGUCUGUCAGAGAAUGCAGGCAGCUACAAGCACUGUAGUUACCCUGAACACUGAUGCUGCAUAUCGCUAAAGGGAACAUAAUUUAUAGCACAAACCUUACGGUUUCCACUAAGCUUGAGUUUUCCUCUCAUUUUCUUGCCUUUUUAUUGGCUUCACUGCACGGUUGCCAAUAGCAACAUCCACUGGUAGCAAGGGGAGUUCAACACCAUUGCAAUCUGCCAUACAGUGGAGCCCUGACAAUGUCAACCAUCAAUCAAGUAGCUGUUUGUAAUUGCCUCCAUCUAUUUCUCCUGUCUCGGGGUAUCUUUCCCAUUGUGGGUCAAGAUUCAGAAACUGCUGACUAAUGCCACGGAUCUGAUCCUCCACGGCCAGGAAACAGUGGAAAGGAUGGUAGCAACCUUCCUGGUGUCAACAACCCUGGGGGUUAAAGGUUGAACUUCUGGGAGUUUUAGAUAUUUUAAAUCCUUUUGUAAAAUAAUUUCUGAUUUCCCAAAAAUGUGAGGUGUGUGUGGCUACUCAUAUAUUCUGCCUUUCCAAAAUAGAGGAAGAAAAAUUGUCCUAGUCCUAUUGGAGGAAGGCAUUUGAAAUGUGAGCCUUCUUGUAAAACCUCCGACUGACCAGAUUAUGUUUGCUUCCUCAGGUCUUUUAGCACUGAUGGCUGAAAAUGACUUCAUCCUGCUUUUUUCUAUGAGAUAUAUUUUUUUCAGAUGUUAUUUAUUAAUACUAGUCAAUAUGUAGAUAAUACAUGCACAAACUAAAAGGUAGCCUACCUUGGCAGGUAGGGGCAAUUUGGCAUUCUGUGAAAGGUAUCAUCUAGUGCACAGUAGACCAGAACUCUAUUCUAGCUGGACACUGACUGGACCUGUAAUCUUGGGACUCAUCAGUUUCAGGUUUUCCAUCUGUUAAAUAAAAGCACUGACUGCUAUUCAGUUUCCACACCAAAGGACCAAGCUGUGUUUUGCUUUUUAAAAUUCUUCCAGAAAAUUAUCUUGUUUAUCCUUCUCAAAUAAAAUAGGCAAAACCCAAAGAGGUCAUCUUCUUACUAAAAAUAAAAUAAAGUUACAUAUGUGGAGUAGAUAUAAAACAAUCUUAUUACAGAUGGUCUCAGCCUGCCUUUAUUGAUCGUGAAAUAUAUGGUCAUCAAUACAUUUUUAAAAAAACAUAUAUUCUUUUAUUUCAUAAAGAACAAUUGUGGAUUUUCUCAUGUCAUAGGUAUCUUACAAACAGUGGUCAUUCAUUUAGAAAUAAAUUUAUAAAAUGAGUCAAGGAAAGUUAAAAUUGCACAUGCGUUUUCUGCUUCUAAAAUUUGAUAUGCCUAUACACUUCCGGGUAUUUUAUAUUUGCAAAUAUGUUGGGUUAAAAAUUAAUUAAAUUAAUUAAAAUUAAUUUUAAAUUUUUUAUAUUAGGGUAAUGCCAAUAUUGUAUUACAUUAAUGCUACUGGAAUUCAGUUGUUUUCUGUGUAUCAAAAUGUUAUCAUAUUUUAUCCACUUGCAAUAGGUCAUUAAACAGAGUUGCUCAAUUUACUUAAGGUACAAUUAUUUGAAAAUUCAUUUCUCCUGCUGACUCUUAUGAACUGCAGAAAGACAAAAAAAAAAAAAAAAAAACAGUAUCAUCCCUGGUAAUGGUAUAAAACAAUUUACAUCACAUGGGACAGUAAUCUAUUUAAGGAAGAUUUAAAUAGAAAGAAAAAAUGCUUUGACUAGGGAAAAAAGGCAAAAAGGAUACAUUAAAGCAACCAACCAAAACCUAAUUUGGGGAUCUAAAACUCUGGGCAAUUCUACCAUAGUGAAGUUACAUUAUCUGCAUUAGAAUAACAUUAUGAAAUUGUUAUUCUGGCAUUUGCUGCAAAGAACUCCCUAAACUCAAAUGUACAAGGAUUUUAAAGGUUCAAUCUAGCUACAAGAACCGGUUUUAAAAUAUUUG